GUCAGCUCGUGUCGUGAGAUGUUGGGUUAAGUCCCGCAACGAGCGCAACCCCUAUUGUUAGUUGCUACGCAAAGAGCACUCUAGCGAGACUGCGUUGACAAAACGGAGGAAGGUGGGGACGACGUCAAAUCAUCAUGCCCCUUAUGUCCUGGGCUACACACGUAAUACAAUGGCAUUUAACAGAGGGAAGCAAAACCGCGAGGUGGAGCAAAUCCCUAAAAGGUGUCUCAGUUCGGAUUGCAGGCUGCAACUCGCCUGCA
rnacentral:rRNA from 1 species